UACGAAGGGGGCUAGCGUUGUUCGGAAUUACUGGGCGUAAAGCGUGCGCAGGCGGCUAUGCAAGACAGAUGUGAAAUCCCCGGGCUCAACCUGGGAACUGCAUUUGUGACUGCAUAGCUAGAGUACGGUAGAGGGGGAUGGAAUUCCGCGUGUAGCAGUGAAAUGCGUAGAUAUGCGGAGGAACACCGAUGGCGAAGGCAAUCCCCUGGACCUGUACUGACGCUCAUGCACGAAAGCGUGGGGAGCAAACAGG
rnacentral:rRNA from 1 species